rnacentral:tRNA from 1 species
GGAGAAGUACUCAAGAGGCUGAAGAGGCGCCCCUGCUAAGGGUGUAGACUGGGAAACUGGUGCGAGGGUUCAAAUCCCUCCUUCUCCGCCA